UGGGGAAUAUUGCGCAAUGGGCGGAAGCCUGACGCAGCGACGCCGCGUGGGGGAUGACGGCCUUCGGGUUGUAAACCUCUUUUACCACUCACGAAGGCUCCCAGUGUUCUGGGGGUUGACGGUAGGUGGUGAAUAAGGACCGGCUAACUACGUGCCAGCAGCCGCGGUAAUACGUAGGGUCCGAGCGUUGUCCGGAAUUAUUGGGCGUAAAGAGCUCGUAGGCGGCCUGUCGCGUCUGCUGUGAAAGUCCGGGGCUUAACUUCGGGUGUGCAGUGGAUACGGGCAGGCUUGAGGUAGGUAGGGGAGACUGGAAUUCCUGGUGUAGCGGUGAAAUGCGCAGAUAUCAGGAGGAACACCGGUGGCGAAGGCGGGUCUCUGGGCCUUACCUGACGCUGAGGAGCGAAAGCGUGGGGAGCGAACAGG
rnacentral:rRNA from 1 species